AUUCCGCCACCAGUGGGACGUCGGACUAGUGGGCUGUAGGACAAAAGGGAAUUUUUCGGAAUAUUGAGAGGUUGGAAGAAUGGCGUGU